AUGCUCCGCCGCCAGCGCCACUUCCUCCCCGCCAAGCCCCGCCGCCGCCCGAAGCCCCAGCCCAAACCCGCCGCCAAGCCCUCCGCCCCGACGUACACCCGCGACGUCGUCCGGCGCGUGACCAACAUACUCCGCGACCACCCCUGGUCGGCGGCGCGCCCGCUCCUCCUCUCCCUCCCGGACCUCGUCUGGGACUCGCACGUCGUGGCGCGCGUCCUCAAGACCCACCCGCCCCUCCAGAAGGCCUUCCUCUUCUUCCGCCUCGCGGCCUCCCCGGCCGCCGGCCCCACACCCAGGGCCGCCUUCCGCCACGACCGCUACACCUACACCUCCAUGCUCCACCUCCUCGGCGAGGCCGGCCGGGUCCCCGCCAUGCUCCGCCUCCUCGCCGAGAUGCUCCGCGCCGGGGUCGACCCUGACGCCGCCACGUUCACGACCGUCAUGCACUGGCUGGCGCGCGCAGGGGACGUGGACGCCGCAAUGCGGGUGUGGGAAGAGAUGCGCUCCCGCAGGGGGAAGUGCCGCCCCACGCUCGUCAGCUACACGGCGUGCGUCAAGAUCCUGUUCGACGCCGGGAGGGCCGCCGAGGGCAGGCGGGUGUUCGAGGAGAUGGUGGCCGAGGGGCUGCGGCCCAGCUGCACCACCUACACCGUGCUCAUCGAGCAUCUCGCUGACGCAGGAAAAUUCCAAGCUACUCUACAAAUUAUGAGUGACAUGCAAGAUGCAGGCGUAGAACCAGACAAGCCACUCUGCAAUAUUCUAGUCAAGAAGUGUGCCAGCGCUGGUGAGACGUCAGUGAUGACCUUCAUUCUUCAGCACAUGAAGGAGAAAGGCAUUGUUCUCCGUAGGCCUGUCUUUUUGGAAGCACUAGAAGCUCUAAAAGCUAGUGGUGAGAGCCCUAAUCUUCUUUGGGAAGUGAAUCCUCAUCUUGCAUCUGAAGGAAUGGAAUAUGACCCAACAUUUUCUCAUCUAAGCUACAAUACUGACAGAAGUACGAUUAUAUACCUUUUGGCUUCUAGAAACUGGUCUGCUAUCGAACAAAUGGUAAAUGAAUUGACCACGAGGAAUGUGAAGUUUGAGUCGCAUAUACUAUCUGAUAUUAUUCAGGCCAGCUGUGCAAACUGCAGACCAUCAUGUGGACUCACAGUUCUGUACUAUGGUCUAAGAGUAGGCAGUGAACUUGACAGGUCUGCAUAUAGUUGCCUUCUUGGUCAAUACAUCAGAAAUGGUUCGUUUGAUUUGGUAUCUAAGAUUGUUGAAAGAUUAAUUAAGUGUGGCUGCAAUCUUGGAGCAUAUCUGUUAUCUGUCUUAAUACUCAGAUUGGGUUCUGCUGGGCAUUCUUCAUACGCGGCACAUAUCUUUGGGUUAUCACCUGCAGACCAGAAUGUGAUUACCUACACUGCCCUUAUGAAUGCCUAUUUUCAAGCUGGCGAAGUUGAUAAGGCUCUUGAACUAUUCUCUCAAAUGAUAACUAAUGAGAUAUCUGCUUCUGCGGGUACAUAUGAAGUACUGAUAUAUGGCCUGCAAAAGGCUGGGCGGAAACAGGACUCUGACCGUUACCGAAGAGAAAGAAUGGAGAUGCAAUGGCAUCGUCAGUACCGUGACAAGCAUUCCCCUGAAGAUAGCUUAUGUGACCAUUUAUUUUGUGGCUUUCAUGGUUAG
rnacentral:rRNA from 1 species